AUUUUGUUAGGAUUGUCAUUUUAUUAUAUUGGCUCAUCCUACCCAUGAGCAUUUAAUGUUUUUCCAAUUGUUCAGAUCUAGUUUUAUUUGUGUGAAAAGUGUUUUGUAGUUGUGUUCAUAUAAUUCCUGCUUGUCUUGACAAAUAGAUUCCCAAAUAUUUUAUAUUGUUUACAGUGAUUUUAAAUGGAGUUUCUCUUUCUAACUCUUGUUGCUGAGUUUUGUUGGAAAUAUAUAGAAAUGCUGAUGAUUUAUGUGGGUUUAUUAUAUAUCCUGCAACUUUGUUAAAGUUAUUAUUUCCAUUAGCUUUUUAGUUGAUUCUCUAAGUAUACCCAUAUCAUCUGCAAAGAGUGAUAGGUUUAGUUUCUUCAUUGCCUACUUUGAUCCCUUCAAUUUCUUUUUCUUCUCUAAUUGCUACUGCUACCAUUUAUAGUACAAUAUUAAAUAAGAGUGGUGGUAAUGGGCAUCCUUGCUUCAUUCCUGAUCUUACUGGGAAGUCUUCUAACUUAUCCCCAUUGCAGAUGACAUUUGCUGAUAGGGGUUUUAAAUAAGUACUGCUUAUUAUUUUGAGGAAAGGCCCCUUUAUUCCUAUACUUUCUAGUGUUUCAAUAGGAAUGGGUGUUGUAUUUUGCCAAAUGCUUUUUCUGCAUCUAUUGAGAUAAUCAUGUGUUUUUUUUGGUUGUUUUGGUUGUUGAUAAUGGGCAUUUAUGCAGAUGUUUUUCUAAAUAUUAAACCAGUCUUGCAUUCCUGAUAUAAAUUCCACCUGGUCAUAAUGAAAAAUCUGUGAUAACUUACUGUAGUCUCUCCGCUAGUAUUUUACUUAAGAUUUUUGCAUCUAUGUUCAUUAAGGAGAUUGGUCUGUAGCUUUCUUUGUUUUUGGUCUUCCUGACUUAGGAAUCAGUACCAUAUUUGUGUCAUAAAAUGAAUUUGGUAAGACUCCUUUGUUUAUUUUGUCAAAUACUUGGUAUAGUAUUGGGAUUAGUUGUUCUUGAAAUGUUUGAUAGAAUUCCCUUGUGAAUCCAUCUGGCCCUGGAGAUUUUUUCUUAGGGAAUUCCUUAAUGGAAUUUCUUCAAUUUCUUUCUUCUGAUAUGGGAUUAUUUAAGCAUGCUAUUUCCUCUUUUGUUAAUCUGGACAAUUUAUACUCUUGGUAAAUAUUUGUCCAUUUCAUCUAGAUGGUCAUAUUUAUUGUCAUAUAAUUGGGCAAAAUAGCUCUUAGUGCCUUAAUUUCCUCUUCAUUAGAGGUGAAAUCUCCCUUUUCAUUUUUGAUACUAUUAAUUUGAUUCUCUUCCUUCUUUGUAAAUUAGAUAAUCAAUACUUUUUCUAUUUUAUUUUUUAAGAACCAGUUCCUAGUCUUAUUUAUUAGUUCAGUAGUUCUUUUACUUAUAAUUUAUUAAUUUCGCCUUUGAUUUUUAAGAUUUUCAAUUUAGUUCUUAUCUGGGGUUUUAAAAUUUGUUCUUUUUCUAGUUUUUUAAGUUGCAUGCCCAAAUCACUGAACUCCUUUUUCUCAAUUUUGUUGAUAUAAGUACUCAUGGAUAUAAAUUUUCCCCUAAGUGCUGCUUUGGCUAUAUUCCAUAGCCUUUGAUAUGUUAUGUCCGCAUUAUCAUUCUCUUAAAUGAAAUCAGUAAUUAUUUCUUUGAUUUCAAAGAGAGGUUUCAGCUUCUGCUGCUUCUAAGCCAUCAUCUUGACUCCACUCCCUGGGCCUUUGUCUUUGACUGUCCGCUGCCCCUCCUCAAUGUGAAUCCACUUUGAGUUUAGGAAUGGCCCUGGUAAGGAGCAGCAUUGGUCACAUUCAACACUUAUUCCUGCCAAGUAGAGAAGAAUCUAUUAAAAAACUUACAAGACUUGUCUAGGGGUGGUCUGUAACCUGCUAUGCUCUUCUGCUGCUCUGGUGGUCCAUUGCAAGACUUUCAAGUCAUUCUUUAGGCUCUAGCCUUGAUGUACCAAUGUUCCUUAAUGUGUUUCUCUGGGCCAAGAAAGCUUUCAUUUCUAAAUACUUUUUAUUAUUGUGACAGUGAGUUCCUGGAGCAGUUAUUUUAAAAGACCGUUGAGUUUGGGUACAUUGGAGAUAUCUGCAAUUUUAAAGAAGUCAGGCAUUUGAAGAGAAAGAAUAAGUGCUAUCUCCCAAGAGACAUUAAAGUCUCUUGUUUUGAGUUUAACAAUGGAGUUCUGGAAAGGAUAUUCCAGUUCAGUGUACUUCUUUGGGCAGCCUACUGAAGAUGAGAUCAUUUUUAUAAUAGUGCUCUUCCUGGGGGCAGCACUGCUGAUUGUUAGUGGUGCCUUAACCUGGAAAGCCUUUCUGCAGCUGACGAACAGCACUGGCGAUGUCUAUGCCAAAAGCCAAAGAUUUCUGAGUAACAUGAGGGCCAAAGCCUCUCCAAGUGCUCUGUACUUGUGUGAGUCAGGAAAUUCACGAGUGCCCGCAGGUGAAAGGAAAAAGCUAAAGGCUGGGAUAUCCGUAAUCAACUACAUCUUAGUCCCAGUGCAUGUUACCUCUAGAGAGCAAAAUGGCAUUCCUCCACAAUCCUUUAUGCCGAUGACUGUAUCUCGUAAGGAUAUGCUCCCUGUGUAGGAGGAAACAUGGUGACUACUCACCUCAGGUCAGCCAAAUAAUUGGACUGCUGUA